GGGGCGAAGAUAAGACGGAUUAGCGGCGGACGGGUGAGUAACACGUGAGUAACCUGCCUUUUACACAGGGAUAGCCUCGGGAAACCGGGAUUAAAACCUGAUGAAACUAUCAAAUCACAUGAUUAAGAAAGUUAAAACUCCGGUGGUAAAAGAUGGACUCGCGUCCCAUUAGCUAGUUGGUGAAGGUAACGGCCCACCAAGGCAACGAUGGGUAGCCGGCCUGAGAGGGUGAACGGCCACAUUGGAACUGAGAAACGGUCCAAACUCCUACGGGAGGCAGCAGUGGGGAAUAUUGCACAAUGGGGGAAACCCUGAUGCAGCGACGCCGCGUGAGCGAAGAAGGCCUUCGGGUCGUAAAGCUCUUUUAUAUGGGAAGAUAAUGACGGU
rnacentral:rRNA from 1 species